UACAGAGGGUGCGAGCGUUGUUCGGAAUUACUGGGCGUAAAGGGCGCGUAGGCGGCCUGCUAAGUCGGACGUGAAAUCCCCCGGCUCAACCGGGGAACUGCGUCCGAUACUGGUGGGCUCGAAUCCGGGAGAGGGAUGUGGAAUUCCAGGUGUAGCGGUGAAAUGCGUAGAUAUCUGGAGGAACACCGGUGGCGAAGGCGGCAUCCUGGACCGGUAUUGACGCUGAGGCGCGAAAGCCAGGGGAGCAAACGGG
rnacentral:rRNA from 1 species